GACGAACGCUGGCGGCGUGCUUAACACAUGCAAGUCGAACGGAAAGGCCCUGCUUUUGUGGGGUGCUCGAGUGGCGAACGGGUGAGUAACACGUGAGUAACCUGCCCUUGACUUUGGGAUAACUUCAGGAAACUGGGGCUAAUACCGGAUAGGAGCUCCUGCUGCAUGGUGGGGGUUGGAAAGUUUCGGCGGUUGGGGAUGGACUCGCGGCUUAUCAGCUUGUUGGUGGGGUAGUGGCUUACCAAGGCUUUGACGGGUAGCCGGCCUGAGAGGGUGACCGGCCACAUGGGGACUGGGAUACGGCCCAGACUCCUACGGGAGGAAGCAGUGGGGAAUAUUGCAAAAUGGGCGGAGGCCUGAUGCAGCAACGCCGCGUGCGGGAUGACGGCCUUCGGGUUGUAAACCGCUUUCGCCUGUGACGAAGCGUGAGUGACGGUAAUGGGUAAAGAAGCACCGGCUAAUUACGU
rnacentral:rRNA from 1 species